rnacentral:rRNA from 1 species
UCAAAGUAGUUAGCAAUUAUACCGUGAACUGCGAAUGGCUCAUUAAAUCAGUUAUCGUUUAUUUGAUAAUACCUUACUACUUGGAUAACCGUGGUAAUUCUAGAGCUAAUACAUGCUAAAAAUCCCGACUUCGGAAGGGAUGUGUUUAUUAGAUAAAAAACCAAUGCCCUUCGGGGCUUCUUGGUGAUUCAUGAUAACUUUACGGAUCGCAUAGCCUUGCGCUGGCGACGGUUCAUUCAAAUUUCUGCCCUAUCAACUUUCGAUGGUAAGGUAUUGGCUUACCAUGGUUUCAACGGGUAACGGGGAAUUAGGGUUCGAUUCCGGAGAGGGAGCCUGAGAAACGGCUACCACAUCCAAGGAAGGCAGCAGGCGCGCAAAUUACCCAAUCCCGACACGGGGAGGUAGUGACAAUAAAUACUGAUACAGGGCUCUUUUGGGUCUUGUAAUUGGAAUGAGUACAAUUUAAACCUCUUAACGAGGAACAAUUGGAGGGCAAGUCUGGUGCCAGCAGCCGCGGUAAUUCCAGCUCCAAUAGCGUAUAUUAAAGUUGUUGCAGUUAAAAAGCUCGUAGUUGAAACUUGGGCCUGGCUGGCGGGUCCGCCUCACCGCGUGCACUCGUCCGGCCGGGCCUUCCUUCUGAAGAACCUCAUGCCCUUCACUGGGCGUGUUGGGGAAUCAGGACUUUUACUUUGAAAAAAUUAGAGUGUUCAAAGCAGGCCUUUGCUCGAAUACGUUAGCAUGGAAUAAUAAAAUAGGGCGUGCGUUUCUAUUUUGUUGGUUUCUAGAGACGCCGCAAUGAUUAACAGGAACAGUCGGGGGCAUCAGUAUUCAGUUGUCAGAGGUGAAAUUCUUGGAUUUACUGAAGACUAACUACUGCGAAAGCAUUUGCCAAGGAUGUUUUCAUUAAUCAGUGAACGAAAGUCAGGGAUCGAAAGACGAUCAGAUACCGUCGUAGUCUUGACCGUAAACUAUGCCGACUAGGGAUCGGGGCGAUGUUCUUU